rnacentral:rRNA from 1 species
AUGGCCCCGGCGGCGCAGGAGCAGUGGUACAUCAUGUACGCUGUUCCGGAUGUGUCGGAAGAUGUGAUGAAGCCCCAGAAAUUCCCCAACGCGACGUUCUCCUUCAACAAGGUUCCGCUACCUUCCCGCCUAUUCGUCGAGAGUAGCGUCGCCAGCCCCGCCGGAAGCGUCGAGUACCCCUACAUCGCGGCUGCCGACCGCAGCGGCCACCUUCUGCUAUGCGGUUACACCUCGUUCGGGCUCACCUUCUACAUCUGCGAUCCGCUUUUCCGCAUGACGAUGGGCAUCUUCCCCCACGACGGCGGCUUCAACUGCCACUACUGCGUUGGCCUCAUCCGCAAUCACAACCGCAGGCUUCUCAUGGUGGCCGAUCUCAACCCGUGCUUUUUCGAAGAAGAUGUCUUCUUCACGCUCUUCUGCACGGUCGACUUGUACUCGUGGGUCGAGAAGGAGCCCGACUGCUCGAAAAUCUUGGAUAAGCAACAGUGGCGCGGUGAUGGCGUUCUCACUCAUGAAGGUUUGCUCUGGUGGUUCGACUUCUCCUACUGUAUACUUGCCUGCGACCCCUUCCACGAUAAACCGGUGCUUCACCAAAUCAAGUUCCCGCAUGUACAACACGAGCUGCCCUUUGCACCGUCCACAAUCAACGGUGACAUACUCCGCUGCUUAAAGGUGAGCGAAGGCAGCCUGCGGUACGUGCAGAUCCAUGGCCACAGACACGAACCGGUGGUCAGCAUGUGGACGCUGUCCUCCAACAAUCCGUCAGAGGCGCAAUGGAAGCCGACGCACGAAGUGAGGUUGGCUGAGAUCUGGAACCAUGAGACCUACAAAAGGACGCCGCUGCACGGGGAUGUGAUCCCCACUGUGGCGCUUGUCAACCCGAUGAAGGCACACGAGGUCUACUUCUUCCUGGACAAGCACAUCUUCUCUGUCAACCUGCAGAACAGUAGUGUGGUGCAGUAUGAGAAGUUUGAAGAUUCGGGGAUGCCGGACCUCUCCUCCCGCCUGGUCCAUGCUUGGCAGUUUCCACCGGAGCUCACCGAAUAUCAUCACUUGCCUGGAACCGAUGUGUUGGGUGCCACGGGGGUUUAUUUCCUGAAUCAAUAUGACUCAGUGGAGGAUUUCCAUGAAGAAGUGAUUGCUGCCACAGACAGGUGGUGUCCCGAAUUGCAUGAGAUGGGUCUGGAGGAACUUGAAGAUGGAGAUGAUGAUGCCUCUGAGAUGAGUGUGGAUCUUGAAGGGGAUGGAGAUGACUCUGAGACGAGUGGGGAUGACUCCGAGAUCAGUGAGGACGAUGUCGAAGAGGACGGAGAUGAAGACUGA